AUGCUCCUCGAGCACCGUGAGGCCUGCAUCCUCCGGCAAGCUAUCCAGCGCGGCGUCGAAGUCAAGGCUGGCGUUCCAGUAUGCCAGCUUGGUGAGGACCUUGGUCAUGGCGCUCCGGCAAAGUAUCUGGUCCUCGCUGGCCAGGGAGCUCGCCCAGUUGGAGUUGAAUCGUUCCAGGGCUCCAAGAACGCCCUCGAAGAACAGGGUCAGCUUGGUGUUGGGGCUCACAUUCGGCUCCGGGGCAUACCUCACGUCCGGCAUCCCCAUGUCGGCCAGCUGCUUGAUCCUGUUGGUGACGUCGGCGAGGCGGCUGAUCCAGAGGUUCUCUCCCUUCACGAAAUCCUCGUGGUUGGCGGCGUCGUUCUUCCGCAGCUGCCUCUCCUCCGCCAGGCUCUUGGUCAGGGUUCCCUCCCGGGUCCUGACCUCCGACAGCAUCCCCUGUGGGGACCAAUUCUCUGGGUAUUAAUUCCAGAAAAUGGCAUGUGUGCUCACCAGCCCCAGGAUAAUCUGUUAGCUGAUGAGGCACCAACUUGA
rnacentral:rRNA from 1 species